rnacentral:rRNA from 1 species
UACGUAGGGUGCGAGCGUUAAUCGGAAUUACUGGGCGUAAAGCGUGCGCAGGCGGCUUUUUAAGCAAGAUGUGAAAUCCCCGGGCUUAACCUGGGAACUGCAUUUUGAACUGGAAGGCUAGAGUGCGGCAGAGGGGGGUAGAAUUCCACGUGUAGCAGUGAAAUGCGUAGAGAUGUGGAGGAAUACCGAUGGCGAAGGCAGCCCCCUGGGUUGACACUGACGCUCAUGCACGAAAGCGUGGGGAGCAAACAGG